rnacentral:rRNA from 1 species
UGCGUAGGCGGAUGGAUAAGUCAGCGGUGAAAUCUCACGGCUCAACCGUGAAACUGCCGAUGAUACUGUCCAUCUUGAGUUUGGGAGAGGUCGAUGGAAUUCCAGGUGUAGCGGUGAAAUGCGUAGAUAUCUGGAAGAACACCAGUGGCGAAGGCGGUCGACUGGCCCACAACUGACGCUGAGGCACGAAAGCGUGGGGAUCAAACAGGAUUAGAUACCCUGGUAGUCCACGCCCUAAACGAUGAAUGCUUGGUGUUGGCCUUUCGAGGUCAGUGCCGUAGGAAACCUGAUAAGCAUUCCACCUGGGGAGUACGCUCGCAAGGGUGAA